UACGUAGGGUGCAAGCGUUAAUCGGAAUUACUGGGCGUAAAGCGUGCGCAGGCGGUUGUGCAAGACAGAUGUGAAAUCCCCGGGCUUAACCUGGGAACUGCAUUUGUGACUGCACGGCUAGAGUGCGGCAGAGGGGGAUGGAAUUCCGCGUGUAGCAGUGAAAUGCGUAGAUAUGCGGAGGAACACCGAUGGUGAAGGCAAUCCCCUGGGCCUGCACUGACGCUGAGACGCGAAAGCGUGGGGAGCGAACAGG
rnacentral:rRNA from 1 species